rnacentral:rRNA from 1 species
GAUGAACGCUGGCGGCGUGCCUAAUACAUGCAAGUCGAGCGAACAGACGAGGAGCUUGCUCCUCUGACGUUAGCGGCGGACGGGUGAGUAACACGUGGAUAACCUACCUAUAAGACUGGGAUAAAUUCGGGAAACCGGAGCUAAUACCGGAUAAUAUAUUGAACCGCAUGGUUCAAUAGUGAAAGACGGUUUUGCUGUCACUUAUAGAUGGAUCCGCGCCGCAUUAGCUAGUUGGUAAGGUAACGGCUUACCAAGGCAACGAUGCGUAGCCGACCUGAGAGGGUGAUCGGCCACACUGGAACUGAGACACGGUCCAGACUCCUACGGGAGGCAGCAGUAGGGAAUCUUCCGCAAUGGGCGAAAGCCUGACGGAGCAACGCCGCGUGAGUGAUGAAGGUCUUCGGAUCGUAAAACUCUGUUAUUAGGGAAGAACAAAUGUGUAAGUAACUAUGCACGUCUUGACGGUACCUAAUCAGAAAGCCAUGGCUAACUACGUG